AUAAGCUCUGGGUUUCCAUCUCAAAAUCACCCUGCUACCUGAUACUGCUGCACGUUCAACUUUAUCUGAUCAUCACAACAAGAUGGAAUCAGGUCUUCAUUUCAUGGUGGUCCUGUGUUUGACCAGUGGACUGUGGACUGGAGCAAAUGCAGAGAAUGAGACAGCACCAGGUUGGUA